UGCAAGUCGAACGCGUUGGCCCAACUGAUUGACGAUGCUUGCAUCCGAUUGACGUUGGAUUUCCAACGAGUGGCGGACGGGUGAGUAACACGUAGGUAACCUGCCCAGAAGCGGGGGAUAACAUCUGGAAACAGGUGCUAAUACCGCAUAACAAUUCAAAUCGCAUGGUUUGAAUUUAAAAGAUGGCUCUGCUAUCACUUCUGGAUGGACCUGCGGCGCAUUAGCUUGUUGGUAGGGUAAUGGCCUACCAAGGCAGUGAUGCGUAGCCGAGUUGAGAGACUGAUCGGCCACAAUGGGACUGAGACACGGCCCAUACUCCUACGGGAGGCAGCAGUAGGGAAUCUUCCACAAUGGGCGCAAGCCUGAUGGAGCAACACCGCGUGAGUGAAGAAGGGUUUCGGCUCGUAAAGCUCUGUUGUUGAAGAAGAACGUGCAUGAGAGUAACUGUUCAUGCAGUGACGGUAUUCAACCAGAAAGUCACGGCUAACUACGUGCCAGCAGCCGCGGUAAUACGUAGGUGGCAAGCGUUAUCCGGAUUUAUUGGGCGUAAAGAGAGUGCAGGCGGUUUCUUAAGUCUGAUGUGAAAGCCUUCGGCUCAACCGAAGAAGUGCAUCGGAAACUGGGAGACUUGAGUACAGAAGAGGGCAGUGGAACUCCAUGUGUAGCGGUGGAAUGCGUAGAUAUAUGGAAGAACACCAGUGGCGAAGGCGGCUGCCUGGUCUGUAACUGACGCUGAGACUCGAAAGCAUGGGUAGCGAACAGGAUUAGAUACCCUGGUAGUCCAUGCCGUAAACGAUGAGUGCUAGGUGUUGGAGGGUUUCCGCCCUUC
rnacentral:rRNA from 2 species